rnacentral:pre_miRNA from 1 species
UUAGCUUAUAUUUGUAUGGAAUGGGAUCGUUUGCCUACGUUUGCCGCUAGGGGCGCUGUUCCAACUGCAUACAAAAUUAAGUUA